GUCAGUUUCCUCUUUGCUCAGCAAUGUAUUUUUCACUGCAUGUGAACAUGAUGUGUAAUGUGAGAGCGGCAUUGUUUGCAUCCGUAAGGG